GCAUCAAUGUUUCCAUCUUUAAUCAUCUUUAUAUCUGUCUCUCUCCAUCUCUGCCUAUCCUUUCAUCUGGACAGUCAGCCUGAUUAAUACAUAGAUAGAUAUCGGCCUUUGUGAACGAGUAUUCUUGUGUUAAAGUAGAGCAGCGGGGUCCUGACUCCUGAGGGCCGCAGAGGCAGGCGAGCCCCGCCCCUGGCCCUGAAUGUCACUCAAUUUUAGACUCAGUACUUUGAUAGAAAAAAACAAAUAAAUAAAGUCACGGCUUGUCACUGAAUGUUGGGCGUGCGAGGAGAGCGGCUCCUGCCCCUGCCGCCUUGCUCUACAGUCAUUGCAUUGCCGCACUGCCCCUUUAAAGCUUCCAGAUUCAUCAAGAGUCACCGCUGUACUCACAUUCACAUUUCUACAUACACACGUACCUACACGGAUUCUUAUGUCUUUAAACUAGCACGUAAUGAAGCAGCUCAAGACAGGCGUGUCGAGGCCGUGGCUGGCGGGGCGUUGCGCGCAUCCGAACGAAUGUCACAGACCGCCCGCACUCCACUCACCCUGCCCCGAGCCGAGGCAGCAUCAGCAGCAGCAGCAGCGGCGCGCGAGCUUACUCAGUGUUCUCUGAGCCGCGAGAAGGGAAGGUGCUGUGUUACUCUCUGUGGUGCUUGGUCGCCGCCCCCCAACGCCCACCUUGCCACCCGUGUUCCCAGCCCAUGCCGUGAACCAUGGCGAGCGCUAAGUCCGGCGUGCAUGUGCUCAAACUUAAGCACAUCACUGUGCCGCAGCAGCUUCAGGAUGGGGACAAGUUCGUCAAAUGGGAAGAGGUAAGCUCACGUGCGGAGGUGAUGGUAAUGGUGGGGAGCGAAGCAUGACGAAGGAAGUGAGGAAAUACGAAGAAGAGGAGGAGGAGAAAGAGGAAGGUGAUGAUGAAAAAUAGGGGUGUUUUGAUUUUUUCUUGAUUUCUUGUUCUUGUUCUUGUUCUUGUUCUUGUUCAGCUGGCUUAUAAUGUUUAAAUAAUAAUGAAAGUAUAGUUUUUAUCGUGA